rnacentral:rRNA from 1 species
UGAGGAAUAUUGGACAAUGGAUGGAAAUCUGAUCCAGCCAUGCCGCGUGCAGGAAGACGGUCCUAUGGAUUGUAAACUGCUUUAGCAUGGGAGCAAUAAGGUGUACGCGUACACCGAUGAGAGUACCAUGAGAAUAAGCACCGGCUAACUCCGUGCCAGCAGCCGCGGUAAUACGGAGGAUGCAAGCGUUAUCCGGAUUUAUUGGGUUUAAAGGGUGCGUAGGCGGAUGGGUAAGUCAGCGGUGAAAUGUCCCGGCUCAACCGGGGAACUGCCAUUGAUACUGCUUGUCUUGAAUGCGGAUGCCGUGGGAGGAAUGUGUAGUGUAGCGGUGAAAUGCAUAGAUAUUACACAGAACACCGAUUGCGAAGGCAUCUCACGAAUCCGUUAUUGACGCUGAGGCACGAAAGCGUGGGGAUCAAACAGGAUUAGAUACCCUGGUAGU